CUCUCAACCUGUUCUGCAAAUUCUCACCAAAGGUGCAGAUUCUUCUUUGUGGCUCGUACCUCCAUUUUAUGCCCCUGGAAGUGUGGUAGAUAUUCAGGGCACACAGGACAUCUUCAAUUCCCUUCAUCAUCAACACUCUUGUCAAAGAGAAGCUUCUACUAACCUCUGCUGCGUAUACAUGCUGCUACUUGCAUUCGGAAAACACUGCCCCCCCCCCUCUUCUGGGCCUGGCCAACUACUCGAGGUAAGAGCCACCCAUGUAUUCCCAUAGUUCCAUGCUCAGAUUGGCCAUACUGUCAUUUCCUGUGAAGUUUGUGCUUUUCCACUAAACUGGAGGAGAAAGAACAUAUGUUUCAUUAAUAGUUUAUCCCCAUUCCCAAAACAGGCCAUAAUUUCCCAAAACAGUCCAUAACAAGCACACAGUAGAUAUUUGGCAGUCACUUAGAAGUCUGCUAUGAGAUACUCCUUAGAAUCACGAUGCUGGAGUAAAAGUCGUAUGUGAGGUUGAACCCAUUCUGACCCCCAUAGAGAGGCAGAGGAAACUGACUUGUCCGCUAAUGACAUAUGCAGGUUGGGGUGAUUUUACGUCCAUUGUUUUCAUCAUGUCCAGGUCCCCAGGCAGGGACGAGAGAAUUCCGGUUGCUGCCUUCUUCAGACAGAAGCCAUGUAUUAACCCUUCAGCCAGAAAUCAACAAGAAGUUCUGGUUUCACAUGUAAAUUUCAACUUCACCGAGAUGGUCUUGAGAACACACAGAAAAGACUGCGGCCAAGGGCUCCAGAUGGCCUGGGGCAGCUUGAGGCGUAUGUGGAUCAAGGGCACCCCUCUUCAUGGAGUGGCCGCAUCUUUGGCAUGGGGACGGGCGGAAAACAAGCUUCACCUGCUUCCUGCCUGGUGUGUGGUCAGUGCCUGAGGACCCUGGGCCAUUUGAGCUUUAUUUAGUGACCGGGAUGACUCAUUCCCCAAAUCGCAGAAAUACGGGUUUUCCGUGGCAGUCAGCAUUUCUGGUUUCUGAUCCCGAGGAGAUUCCAUGGGCAUUAACACUGGCCAGAAGAAAACCGUGCAGCACCAGGGGAGCGUGACUUCCCUUUCCUUACGGAGGGCAAGCGAUGCAAGUGAGGAUUUCAGUAUAACAAAGAGGUAAGUAGCAGUUCAUAUGUUCAAGUGAGUCCAGAGCAAAUAUGCAAUUUGUAAUUAGUGAGCGGACGACCUAGUCACUGCUUUUUAUUUGAAGAGAUCUGGGUUCCUACAGGAAACAAUCUCUGAGUUUGGGAAGGACCAGACAUGAUCAUCUCCACCAAACCUAAGAAACGUACCAAGAAGCCCCCUCGUUCCUUUGGUCCAAAGUAUGUGGGGCUGUGGAAGAGGCAAGCCAUAAACGCUGCUACAAAUUUUGACACCAAAGGAUUUUUUUCUAUCAUAUAUUGACAGUGGUCAGUCCUAUGCUGUUAUUUUAUACUCACAUUUCUCUGUAGACAGCCUUUAGAUGAGACUGCCCUUUAUUUCAGAUGCUCCUUAGAUCUCUAUGAAAACAGUGAUAAAGUUAUGAACCAUAGACUUCCAAGAAAUCUACUGAGCCUGGGAAAUGUAGAGAAAAAGGCACUGAGCUGGGUGUUACUGUAAAAGGUUUUUGAGAAUGUUUUAUCCAUUGGAAAGUAAGUGGGCUGGUGCUUAAAAAGUAUUUCACUUCCAAAUUGCCUUAGUAUGGACGUAUGUUUCUAUGUAACGUGCCAGAGUAUUCUGUUUUUGAAAAAUGCAUAUUUAUUUUUGAGACAGAGGGGAGGGGCGGAGGAGAGAGAGGGGGACAGAGGAUCUGAAGCAGCGCUGACAGCAAAGUCUGACGCUGGUCUCAGACCCACGGACCCGUGAGAUGCUCACUUGAGCCAGUAUCAAGAAUCAGACGCUUAUGCUACUGAGCCACUCAGGCGCUCCCACCCCCGUUUUUGAAUGUUUAUUUUUGAGAGUAGAGUAGUCUUUUUAAGGCAUAGGCAUUAUGUUUGUUUUGCUUAAAGCCCCGCAAGUGUUUCCUCGUUUUGCUUAAAACCCGAGCCCCCUCAGUGUGGGUUUGAAGGCCAAGUGGGGUCUGGCCCCCGCCUGCCUU
rnacentral:lncRNA from 1 species